AGGGUUUGAUCCUGGCUCAGAACGAACGUUGGCGGCGUGGAUUAGGCAUGCAAGUCGCGCGAGAAAGUCCCCUUCGGGGGGCGAGUAAAGCGGCGAAAGGGUGAGUAAUGCUUGGAUAACCUACCCUCGAGUGUGGGAUAACAACUGGAAACGGUUGCUAAUACCGCAUGAUACCCGGUAGCGCAUGCUGCCGGGUCAAAGCUGGGAGCUUGCUCCUAGCGCCCGAGGAGGGGUCCAAGUCCUAUCAGCUUGUUGGGGGGGUAACGGCCCACCAAGGCUAUGACGGGUACGAGGCCUGAGAGGGUGCUCUCACACACUGGGACUGAGACACUGCCCAGACUCCUACGGGAGGCUGCAGUCGAGAAUCUUCGGCAAUGGGCGAAAGCCUGACCGAGCGACGCCGCGUGGAGGAAUAAGGCCUUCGGGUUGUAAACUCCUGUCAGAUGUUAAGAAAUGCCCGGGCGCUAAUACCCCCCGGGCUUGACGAAGGCAUCAGAGGAAGCUCCGGCUAACUACGUGCCAGCAGCCGCGGUAAGACGUAGGGAGCGAACGUUGUUCGGAAUCACUGGGCAUAAAGGGUGCGUAGGCGGUCUGGAAAGUGGGGUGUGAAAUCCCUCGGCUUAACCGGGGAACUGUGCCCCAAACUAUCAGACUUGAGGGGAGAAGAGGAGAGUGGAACUCUUGGUGUAGCGGUGAAAUGCGUAGAUAUCAAGAGGAACGCCGGCGGCGAAAGCAACUCUCUGGGCUCCUCCUGACGCUGAGGCACGAAAGCUAGGGGAGCAAACGGGAUUAGAUACCCCGGUAGUCCUAGCCGUAAACGAUGGGUACUAGAUAGGGGGGGUUCCGAUGCCGUCCCUGUCGAAGCUAAUGUGAUAAGUACCCCGCCUGGGGAGUACGGCCGCAAGGCUAAAACUCAAAGGAAUUGACGGGGGCUCGCACAAGCGGUGGAGUAUGUGGUUUAAUUCGAAACAACGCGAAGAACCUUACCUGGGCUUGACAUGCAGGCAGUAACAACCUGAAAGGGAAGUGAACGGUAUCCAGUCCGGAACCUGCACAGGUGCUGCAUGGCUGUCGUCAGCUCGUGUCGUGAGAUGUUGGGUUAAGUCCCGUAACGAGCGAAACCCUUGUCCUCAGUUGCCAGCGGGUAAUGCCGGGGACUCUGGGGAGACUGCCGGUGUUAAACCGGAGGAAGGUGGGGAUGACGUCAAGUCCUCAUGGCCCUUAUGCCCAGGGCGACACACGUACUACAAUGGCCGGUACAAAGAGAAGCAAGACCGCGAGGUGGAGCAAACCUCUAAAAGCCGGCCCCAGUUCGGAUCGCAGGCUGAAAUUCGCCUGCGUGAAGGAGGAAUCGCUAGUAAUCGCGGAUCAGCCAUGCCGCGGUGAAUGUGUUCCCGAGCCUUGUACACACCGCCCGUCAAGCCACGGAAGCUGGGAGCACCCUAAGUCCGUGUUCUAACCCGCAAGGGAAGAAGCGGCCCAAGGUGAGACUAGUGACUGGGACUAAGUCGGAACAAGGUA
rnacentral:rRNA from 1 species